rnacentral:rRNA from 1 species
UUUCUUUGCUGGCGACCGGCGCACGGGUGAGUAACACGUAUCCAACCUGCCCUUUACCCGGGGAUAGCCUUUCGAAAGAAAGAUUAAUACCCGAUAGCAUAAUGAUUCCGCAUGGUUUCAUUAUUAAAGGAUUCCGGUAAAGGAUGGGGAUGCGUUCCAUUAGGUUGUUGGUGAGGUAACGGCUCACCAAGCCUUCGAUGGAUAGGGGUUCUGAGAGGAAGGUCCCCCACAUUGGAACUGAGACACGGUCCAA